GAUGAACGCUAGCGGAAGGCAUAAUACAUGCAAGUCGAACGGAUGUAGCAAUACAUUAGUGGCGCACGGGUGCGUAACGCGUAUGCAACCUACCUUCAUCAGGGGGAUAACUACCCGAAAGGGUGGCUAACACCGCAUAAUACUAUUGAGUGGCAUCACUUGAUAUUUAAAUCUGAGGAGGAUGAAGAUGGGCAUGCGUCUGAUUAGCUAGUUGGUGUGGUAACGGCGCACCAAGGCAACGAUCAGUAGGGGAACUGAGAGGUUGGUCCCCCACACUGGCACUGAGAUACGGGCCAGACUCCUACGGGAGGCAGCAGUAGGAAAUAUUGGUCAAUGGUGGGAACACUGAACCAGCCAUUCCGCGUGCAGGAAGAAGGGUCUCUGACUUGUAAACUGCUUUAGCAAGGGAAGAAAAAGCUCAUGCGUGAGAAAUUGACGGUACCUUGAGAAUAAGCACCGGCUAACUACGUGCCAGCCGCCGCCGUAACAC
rnacentral:rRNA from 1 species